CUUCCCGUCAAUGAGGUGCAAAUACCUCAUCAAUUGGAAGGAAUCUCUUCUGAUUGAUGAGGUAUCUGCACUUCAUUGACUGGAGG
rnacentral:miRNA from 1 species